rnacentral:rRNA from 1 species
AUGUCAGAGACGCAGUCGCAGUCUGUUGAUGGCACAGAACCUGUCACGCAACCUGAGGAUGUGCCUCUUCAGCUUCUUCUGGAGGACCAGCACAAGAGGAAGAAGCAAGAAGAUUUUGACAAGAAGAUGGCGGCCCGCCUUCAGAAAGGUUCUGAUGUUCCUGAAACUGUUGAUGUUGCUGAGCUCACUAUUGGGCAUUGCUCUAUUGUUGUGGAAGACGUGUCGUGUGGCGCUGAUGCCGUGGUUGUCCCCGUGAAGAAGAAAAUCAAGAAGACCACUUCCAGGAAGAAUUUAGUUGGUGAACUUACUCCUCGGAGGAGCCCACGUGUUUCAAAGGCUGUAGAAAUUGCUGAAGAGGAAGGGCUAGCCCUCGGUGGUAUGCCAUGA